ensembl:lncRNA
CAGGUUACAAUUCAAUCUUUACAGCAAUAGCCAGAAAAGUCUCAAUGUCUGGAAAAGAUGCUCAACACACACCUACCUGAAGAUGACAUAGAUACUGGAAUCAUCACAGAUAUAGUUUUUUAUUUUAUUUGGAAUUUAAAAAAACCAACUUUAACGUAUAAUAUAUAUAAAAUAAAGUCUUCCCUAGUGACUCAGCUGGUUCUUUACCAUCUGAGCCAGCAGGGAAGCCCCGUCAGGGGACCAUGUAAGGGGCAGAAACAGCUCUGAAUAUUUUGUAGUUUUGUGAAGUGACGUGCUGCCAUUGUGCGGCUUCUGGGACUAAAUAGUAACCCUCCCACCCCCACCAAAUUCAUGUCAAGGCACUGUUGGUCUCUGUUGGGCUUGCUGACUUCCGCUUUUUCAAUCAGGGAACCGUCCUGGGGAAUUCUUUGACCCCACCCCGCUCCCCAGGGACCUAAGGAUGUGACUGCAUUUGGAGAUGAGGGUCUUUGAAGACGGGGAUGAAGCUGAAAUGAGGUCACUAGGGUGAUCCCUGGCACGGAAGCCACUAGACCUCAAGCAAGAGUCAUCAGUUUCAAGCAGGCGUCGUCAAGCUACCGAUUUCUCGACUAAGGUUAUAAAGAGUUCAAGGCAUUUCUGUAAUGCUGGGUGAAUUAAACAUCCACAUUUUCCCCUGACAUUUUUAGUAGUAAAGCAUUAAAAUAUAGGCCAUUAAAAUUUGUGGCCACGUGGGGUUUUUGAAGAGUGAUUUUUUUUUUCAUACGUACCAUUGGCUUUGGUUGGGUUUGGCGACUACCACUUUUUUUAAUCAGGGAAGUGUCGUGGGGAAUUAUUUGAGAACGUGUGGAUGACCUUGAAUUUUAUGUCCUGGGCAGAGUGGAGUGUUUCUCUUGUCCCCGCCAAAGCCCAUAAAAGCCAGGGAUUGAAUGUUCAUAGCCCUGGCCCAAAGACAGCCUUGCAAAGCUGAGGGUCGGGAAGCCAUUCGUUUGUUUCCCUUGGCUGUUUAUGACUGAAGUAUAGUGGAUUUACAGCGUCGUGUUCAUUUAUUCUAUGCAGCACACCGACUCAG